rnacentral:rRNA from 1 species
AUGGGUUCCGAUGCUUCGUCCGACGAGGAGUAUGGACCGACGGAGCUUGACCAAAUCAUUCAAGACGAGUUCUUCGAUUUCUCGGAUUCAGGCGAAAAAGUGGACAUGAUUAUGCUCAUGAGCAUGCAAGAGGAAAUGGACCGUCAAGUGGAGCAUAUUCUCAACUUCAAGGGCUCAAUCAAAGGAAGAAGAGUGAUCAACCGGGAUAUGGUGUCCGGAGCAAAGCUACUGUACAAAGACUACUUUACUCCCAAGCCUGCUUUCCCGGAUGAUCCAUGGUAUCGUUGCCGUUUUCGCAUGAGGGAACCAUUGUUCUUGCGCAUUGUGGAGGAAGUGGAGGCACACGACGACCACUUCAACCUCACAAGGCAUUGCCGCGGACAACUCUCUUUCUCUCCCGAGCAGAAGUGCAUGGCUCUUUGA